rfam:Sarcophilus harrisii ctg7180001617881, whole genome shotgun sequence.
ACCAGGGUGGCCGAGUGGUUAAGGCGUUGGACUUAAGAUCCAAUAAGCGUCUGCUUUCGUGGGUUCGAACCCCACCCCUGGUA